rnacentral:rRNA from 1 species
AGUGAACGCUGGCGGUAGGCCUAACACAUGCAAGUCGAACGGCAGCACAGUAAGAGCUUGCUCUUACGGGUGGCGAGUGGCGGACGGGUGAGGAAUACAUCGGAAUCUACUUUUUCGUGGGGGAUAACGUAGGGAAACUUACGCCAAUACCGCAUACGGCCUACGGGUGAAAGCAGUGGAUCUUCGGACCUUGCGCGGUUGAAUGAGCCGAUGUCGGAUUAGCUAGUUGGCGGGGUAAAGGCCCACCAAGUCGACGAUCCGUAGCUGGUCUGAGAGGAUGAUCAGCCACACUAGAACUGAGACACGGUCCAGACGCCUACGGGAGGCAGCAGUGGGGAAUAUUGGACAAUGGGCGCAAGCCUGAUCCAGCCAUACCGCGUGGGUGAAGAAGGCCUUCGGGUUGUAAAGCCCUUUUGUUGGGAAAGAAAAGCAGCAGGUUAAUACCCCGCUGUUCUGACGGUACCCAAAGAAUAAGCACCGGCUAACUUCGUG